AUUGAACGCUGGCGGCAGGCCUAACACAUGCAAGUCGAACGGUAACAGGAAACAGCUUGCUGUUUCGCUGACGAGUGGCGGACGGGUGAGUAAUGUCUGGGAAACUGCCUGAUGGAGGGGGAUAACUACUGGAAACGGUAGCUAAUACCGCAUAACGUCGCAAGCCCAAAGAGGGGGACCUUCGGGCCUCUUGCCAUCGGAUGUGCCCAGAUGGGAUUAGCUAGUAGGUGGGGGAACGGCUCACCGAGGCGGCGAUCCCUAGCUGGUCUGAGAGGAUGACCGGCCACCCUGGAACUGAGCCACGGUCCAGACUCCUACGGGAGGCAGCAGUGGGGAAUAUUGCACAAUGGGCGCAAGCCUGAUGCAGCCAUGCCGCGUGUAUGAAGAAGGCCUUCGGGUUGUAAAGUACUUUCAGCGGGGAGGAAGGGAGUAAAGUUAAUACCUUUACUCAUUGACGUUACCCGCAGAAGAAGCACCGGCUAACUCCGUG
rnacentral:rRNA from 1 species